rnacentral:rRNA from 1 species
UACGUAGGGUGCAAGCGUUGUCCGGAAUUAUUGGGCGUAAAGGGCUCGUAGGCGGUCUGUCACGUCGGGAGUGAAAACACGGGGCUUAACCCCGUGCCUGCUUCCGAUACGGGCAGACUAGAGGUAUGCAGGGGAGAACGGAAUUCCUGGUGUAGCGGUGAAAUGCGCAGAUAUCAGGAGGAACACCGGUGGCGGAGGCGGUUCUCUGGGCAUUACCUGACGCUGAGGAGCGAAAGUGUGGGGAGCGAACAGG